rnacentral:rRNA from 1 species
UAAGGUCACGGCGAGACGAGCCGUUUAUCAUUACGAUAGGUGUCAGGUGGAAGUGCAGUGAUGUAUGCAGCUGAGGCAUCCUAACAGACCGAGAGAUUUGAAC